UGCUAUGGUGGGCUGUAUGGGGCACCCUUAGGGGUGGCCGCUUCCUUGUGUGCGGUAGUCUCAACCCUGUGCAGCCCAUCACCAU
rnacentral:antisense_RNA from 18 species